rnacentral:rRNA from 1 species
AGUGAACGCUGGCGGCGUGCCUAAUACAUGCAAGUCGAACGGAGUGGCGCACGGGUGAGUAAUGUAUAGCUAAUCUGCCCUACACUAGAGGACAACAGCUGGAAACGGCUGCUAAUACUAUAUAGUGUAGGAUGAGGCUAUAUUGUUUCAGCUAGCUGGUGAGGUAAUGGCGAACCAAGGCUAUGACGCAUAACUGGCCUGAGGGGAUGAUCAGUCACACUGGAACUGGGACACGGUCCAGACUCCUUCGGGAGGAAGCAGAAGGGAAUAUUGCUCAAUGGGGGAAUACCUAAAGAGACAACGGCGCGUAGAGGAUUACACUUUUCGGGGCGUAAACUCCUUUUGAUAAGGAAACGGUACCUGACGAAUAAGCACCGGCUAACUCCGUGCCAGCAGCCGCGGUAAUAC